rnacentral:lncRNA from 1 species
UUGUUACAUCUGUAAGGUGACUUUUUUUCAACUUGAUCUUAGCCGAACGGCCGAGAAGCGAUGCUUCUUUCCAACUAUUAAGUUAUUUCUGAAAUAUUACUUCGUUGUGCUUUUCUAGGCUUUGACUAAAUCAACGAAGUUACACUAACUGUCCUGAUCUUUAUGCUUAAAAAUACUUACAUUAGUUAAAUUAUGUCUUGUAUUUUAGAAAUUAUCCUUCUUCUCAUGAACCUCCAGAAAAACCUCCAUCCAAAAAGCUUUUGAUAGAACCAUCUCAACUACAGCCUCCCAUUCAUCUUUUAAAAGGAGAAGGAGAUAGGCCUUCCGUAUAUCAUGCAAAACCAGAGAAGGCAAGUCGUGAAACGACUCCUAGAUCGCUGUCACCUGAUCAUGGUAACACAUACAAAAGAAAUAUUGUAUCUGGUGCCUAAGACUUUGUAGUUA